UACAACUUUCAGCAAUGGAUGUCUUGGUUACCAUUAUGAUGAAGAACGUGGUGAAAUGCGAUAACAUUUGUGAUAUGCAUUCCUUCGCGAGUCAUUAUUUUUUCGAACGCACAUUGUGCUC
rnacentral:rRNA from 1 species